rnacentral:rRNA from 1 species
AGAAUCAACGCUGGCGGCGUGCCUAACACAUGCAAGUCGAACGAGAAAGUGGAGCAAUCCAUGAGUAAAGUGGCGACCGGGUGAGUAACACGUGACUAACCUACCUUCAAGUGGGGGAUAACCUCGGGAAACCGGGGCUAAUACCGCAUAACAUCUUUGGAGUGGAAAUUCUGGAGAUCAAAGGAGCAAUUCGCUGGAAGAGGGGUCGCGGCUGAUUAGCUAGUUGGCGGGGUAAUGGCCCACCAAGGCUUUGAUCGGUAGCCGGCCUGAGAGGGCGCACGGCCACACUGGAACUGAAACACGGUCCAGACUCCUACGGGAGGCAGCAGUGGGGAAUUUUGCGCAAUGGGGGAAACCCUGACGCAGCAACGCCGCGUGGAGGAUGAAGUCCCUGGGACGUAAACUCCUUUCGACCGGGAAGAUGAUGACGGUACCGGUGGAAGAAGCCCGGCUAACUUCGCGCCAGCAGCCGC